GGAGAGGUGGCAGAGUGGUCGAUUGUACCUGACUCGAAAUCAGGCGUACGUUUAAGCGUACCGUGGGUUCGAAUCCCACCCUCUCCGCCA
rnacentral:tRNA from 1 species